GUACAAACAAAAAAUGAUCAUGCAAUUCAGAAAAGGACAAAAAGGGAACAUGUUUUUCCGCAGUUGUGUAAACGAGCGGAGUUUCAAAGAUAAGGGCCACAAUUCCGUCUAAUAAACAAGCAUGGAAAUUAGAAAAAAAUUAAAAGCCACACGUCCAAGGUAAUACAGAUGAUGACAGGUGAACCAGGAAAGUUAGGAAAGGAACGUAAGAACAAGGGAAAUUUAAUACGAUGUUAAAAAGAAAUAUUAUAAAAAAGAGUGUAAUAGAAUCUCGGGGAUUCCUCUUGUUAAUUAUUUUUUUCCUUAAGACAACUAUUAAACUAAGGUUCAAACAUUAAUAAUUAUUCAAGAUUAUUUGUUUGCUGCUCAUCGUAUAAGGGUGUAAUUACUGAUAUUGUUCUACAGAGUUGUUGAUGGAAACUUUGCAGAGCCCCUUUACUUUAAAUAUAUUAUAAAUAACAGAAAGAAUUACACAAAUCAGUAGAAAAAUAUAUAAAUACCAAAAAAAAAAAAAAAAGAAAC